AGGAUCUGAGAAAUGUGACUCCACCCAAGGUCUCCUUGUUUGAGCCAUCAAAAGCAGAGAUUGCAAACAAACAAAAGGCUACCCUCGUGUGCUUGGCCAGGGGCUUCUUCCCUGACCACGUGGAGCUGAGCUGGUGGGUGAAUGGCAAGGAGGUCCACAGUGGGGUCAGCACGGACCCUCAGGCCUACAAGGAGAGCAAUUAUAGCUACUGCCUGAGCAGCCGCCUGAGGGUCUCUGCUACCUUCUGGCACAAUCCUCGAAACCACUUCCGCUGCCAAGUGCAGUUCCAUGGGCUUUCAGAGGAGGACAAGUGGCCAGAGGGCUCACCCAAACCUGUCACACAGAACAUCAGUGCAGAGGCCUGGGGCCGAGCAGCUGUGGAAUCACUUCAGCAUCCUAUCAUCAGGGGGUUCUGUCUGCAACCAUCCUCUAUGAGAUCCUACUGGGGAAGGCCACCCUAUAUGCUGUGCUGGUCAGUGGCCUGGUGCUGAUGGCCAUGGUCAAGAAAAAAAAUUCCUGA